ACUGGAGCAGGGGUUCAAGGACUGAGCUGACUGGAAAAUGAGGUUUCCUCUACUUGGAAGAAAUAAAGAUCUAUAAAAAAUGGGGAAAAUAAACUUGGAAUGUGUUCCAUUUGGACAUACUUGAGGUUUACUUCUGCUUUUGGGAAAAAAUUCUACUUAGCCUUUGGCACUCUCCUUUCUUGUCAUCCUCCCAGCUAAACUCCUUGCUGCUGUCUCAUGUUACUGGCAGUAGAAGAAAUGUGCUAGAACCUCCCCUCUCCUGCAUCUUGGCCUCUGCAGCUGUGGCAGAGGAGCAAACAUCCUGUGUUCCUGUGCAAUUAUAACUCUUCCUGGACACUUCUUACUGCUGAAUGUCAA